UCAAGCUACUAAGGGCAUACGGUGGAUGCCUUGGCGCCAUACGCCGAUGAAGGACGCGAUAAGCUGCGAAAAGCCACGGGGAACUGCAAAUAAGUAUCGAUCCGUGGAUGUCCGAAUGGGGAAACCCGGCAGCCGUAAUGGGCUGUCACCCUCGUAAGAGGGAGGGAACCCGGUGAACUGAAACAUCUAAGUAGCCGGAGGAAGAGAAAUCAAACGAGAUGCCCCCAGUAGCGGCGAGCGAAGCGGGCAGAGCCCAAACCGAAGGUCUUCGGGCCUUCGGGGUUGUGGACCGGCAGAAUCGAGCAAGUUGUUAGCCGAAUCCUCUGGAAAGAGGAGCGAGAGAGGGUAAUAGCCCCGUAGGCGAAAACGACGCGCAAGAGGCCGAGAUCCGGAGUACCACGGAGCACGAGGAAUUCUGUGGGAAGCAGGGGGGACCACCCUCCAAGGCUAAAGACGAAAUGGCGACCGAUAGCGCAUAGUACCAUGAGGGAAAGGUGAAAAGAACCCCGGGAGGGGAGUGAAAGAGAACCUGAAACCGUAUGUCUACAAGCAGUCGGAGCGAAAGCGACGGCGUGCCUAUUGAAGAAUGAGCCAACGAGUUACGUGUGCCGGCAAGGUUAAGCAGAAGAUGCGGAGCCGUAGGGAAACCGAGUCUGAAGAGGGCGAGGAGUCGGUAUAGGUAGACCCGAAACUGUAGUGAUCUACGCAUGGCCAGAUUGAAACGCAGGUAAAAAUGCGCGGAGGAUCGAACCGGGACAUGUUGAAAAAUGUUCGGAUGAGCUGUGCGUAGGGGUGAAAUUCCAAUCGAACGCAGAGAUAGCUGGUUCUCCUCGAAAUAGCUUUAGGGCUAGCCUCAGGCAGUAAGCAUAGGCGGUAGAGCACUGAUCGGGUACGGGGCCGUAAAGGUUACCAACCCCUGUCAAACUCCGAAUGGUUAUGCUGCAAAGCCUGGGAGUCAGACUACGAGUGAUAAGAUCCGUGGUCAAAAGGGAAACAGCCCAGACCAUCAGCUAAGGUCCCCAAUGCCGUACUAAGUGGAAAAGGAUGUGGGGCUUCAUAAACAACCAGGAUGUUGGCUCAGAAGCAGCCACCAUUUAAAGAGUGCGUAAUAGCUCACUGGUCGAGAGGCCCCGCGCCGAAGAUUCCCGGGGCUAAAGUACGGAACCGAAGCUAUGGAUGCGGUGUAAGCCGCGUGGUAGAGGAGCGUUCUCAUCGGGCAGAAGCAGUGCUGUAAGGCGUUGUGGACGGAUGAGAAGUGAGAAUGUUGGCAUGAGUAGCGAAAAGGACGGUGCGAAUCCGUCCCACCGAAAGCAUAAGGAUUCCUGAGCAACGAUCGUCGUCUCAGGGUAAGUCGGGACCUAAUCCGAGGCAAGAGGCGUAGGAGAUGGACAUCCGGUUGAGAAUCCGGAACCGGCAGAGGUUGUUUGAGCAAUGGAGUGACACAGGCAGGCAGGCGCGCGCGGGAUUGGAAGUCCGUGUGCAAGCGUGUGGCGCGGGGGACAGGCAAAUCCGUCCCCCAGGAGCGUGAGGCGUGACGCGGAGCUUUCCGUGAGGAAAGCGAAGGGGCUGAGCCUAUACUGUCGAGAAAAGCUUCUAGUGAGACCGAUGCCGCCCGUACCGUAAACCGACACAGGUAUGUGGGGAGAGGAUCCUAAGGUGCGCGGGAGAACCCUCGUUAAGGAACUCGGCAAAAUGUACCCGUAACUUCGGGAUAAGGGUAGCCGCGUGUUGUGAAGUAUGUACAUAUGGAGCAGAGCGCGGCCGCAGAGAAGAGGCCCAAGCGACUGUUUACCAAAAACUUAGGUGCCUGCCAAAGCGAAAGCUGACGUAUAGGUGCUGACACCUGCCCAGUGCCGGAAGGUUAAGGAAGGAGGUUCGGAGCGAUCCAACGCCUUCGACCGAAGCCCCGGUGAACGGCGGCCGUAACUAUAACGGUCCUAAGGUAGCGAAAUUCCUUGUCGGGU
rnacentral:rRNA from 1 species